rnacentral:tRNA from 3 species
GCCACUAUGGUGAAAUUGGUAGACAC